rnacentral:lncRNA from 1 species
UCAUAUACUCAAAUAGAUCAAAUAUUGGCAGCUCUCUUGCCUCUUUUGUUACAGCGUUCAACGACUCUGCAAUGUUUGACGUUAUAGUAAAAGUUCUAUUCACCGUUGCAUGUACUCUUGACCAUCUAUGAGCCAAUAUCAUAUAGGUAAGACGAUACACGUGGGUCUAGCUCUUCAAUCUUCAUCAUUCUUUCAUUGAAUUCAUCCAAAGUAUAUGACCGUCUGUAACAAAGUACAGUUCAUGUAAUUGUAGAUGUGCCUUCUUGAAUUUUGACCUUAUAUUUG